rnacentral:lncRNA from 1 species
CCCAUUCUGACCGUACCCGUCGGAGGCGUAGUCCCCCCCGUAGGUCUUCUGGUAAUAGUAGGUCUUGUGGGUGUGGGUGCCGCCGCCGCCGCCGCCCACCACAUGGGAGCUCAUCUCGUAGCGCAGGUCGGUGCCCGAGUCGGCCCGCGCCAUGCGGCCCAGCGUGUUGAUCCGCGGGUGCGAGCCGCCGUUCAUGCUCAUGGCGGCGGGGCGGAGAGGGGGCGAAGCGGGAAGCGGGGGGACAGACGACCCACAGCCGGAGGGGAGAGCGGCAUUCACCGCCCGGCGAGCCCGAGCUCAGGGGGCGGCGGGGCGGGCGGGGGCCGGGCAGGUGAGGAAGGGCGGCUGGGCGAAGCAGCGGGCUCUUGGGCGGCGGAGGCUGCGGGUGGUGGUGGUGGCGGCAGCGGCGGCAGCAAG